rnacentral:rRNA from 1 species
CCCAGACUCCUACGGGAGGCAGCAGUGAGGAAUAUUGGUCAAUGGGCGAGAGCCUGAACCAGCCAAGUCGCGUGAGGGAAGACGGUCCUAUGGAUUGUAAACCUCUUUUGUCGGGGAGCAAAAAGGCCUCGUGAGGCCACAAGCGAGAGUACCCGAAGAAAAAGCAUCGGCUAACUCCGUGCCAGCAGCCGCGGUAAUACGGAGGAUGCGAGCGUUAUCCGGAUUUAUUGGGUUUAAAGGGUGCGCAGGCGGAGGUGCAAGUCAGCGGUCAAAUUGCGGGGCUCAACCCCGUACUGCCGUUGAAACUGCAUCCCUUGAGUGCGCGAGAAGUAUGCGGAAUGCGUGGUGUAGCGGUGAAAUGCAUAGAUAUCACGCAGAACUCCGAUUGCGAAGGCAGCAUACCGGCGCGCAACUGACGCUCAUGCACGAAAGCGUGGGUAUCGAACAGGAUUAGAUACCCUGGUAUGC